UAAUUUCUCACUUUCCCCACUUCACAUUCCAGGCUGAGAUUGGUGGACUUAGGGCCAUGCUCAGCCUCAUGCGAGUCGGGGAAGAGAUGUGGGGAUGAGCAUGAGGAACAAAGAUCAAGAGAUGGAGAGGUCCACUGCAAACAGCCAUAGAAGAGUAAGCAGGAGACAUCGAUCCUUUGAUUUACUUACUAGUCUAGAGUCAAUAACUGGACCUUGUUGGAAAGAAACAAUGAAAAAAAAAUGAUUAUAUGAGCCUGCUGUUUGUUGAACAUGUAAUCUUUCUUGUUUGGCAAGUAGAUGUGUAAAAUGUAAAUGCAUUAUGACAGUUCAAAAAGGAUAGGAUGGAAGAGAGGAGAAUCUAAGCCUAAUGACAGUGAGGAAAAAGGAGACUCUGGAAGAAAUCAUCUGGAGAGUUUUUGCAGUUGAAAACCAUUGCCACUGUUUGCCUCCAAGCCUGAUAUGCUCUGAGAAGAAAGGAAUAUAUGUAAACAAGAAAAGAAAGCUACCUUUUUAUUCUGGCAUCAGCCACAACAACGGUUUUGAGAAUAUCUGUGAUGUGUUAAAGAGUUUGCAGAAGCACGCCAUGUGCAGGAAUAUUUCAGCUUUUGUUGUGAACAAAUGUGAACAUUGGAAGACCUGCUGAAAGGUGACUUCUAGCCUUAAACUGGAGGGGAAAAGCUAAACUUCAUAGCUGCUGCUCUGCCAUGGAUUUCAGCUUCACAAACGCUCCUGCUGUUACUAUGUACAGAGUUCUGCAUGGGAGAUGUGAGGAAGAAAACAAAAUGGCAUCUUUCAUAUGCAGGAGGAAUGUUAAUGAGGUAGAGAAGAGGGAAGGAAUCAUUAUAGUAAGCUUCCUUUCUGUUUGCCCCCUAAUAUUAGAAUUUACGUUUUUCCUUGCCUAAUCCUGGUUUUCUUGACUUCAUCUGGUAAAACAUAGAAUUUUGCUGAACUGCUGUAACUGAACUAUAGUUUGUGAAACAAAGAAGUUUGGAUAACAGGAGACAAACUCUCAGUGAGGUCAGGACACAACUCUGACCAAUGAAUUGAGAAGGAAAAUAGAGAAUGAUGUCUGUAUCUCUCCACUUGCUGUGGCCAUUACAUCCACCUCAAGGGAGGGCUUUGGAGGGAUGUGUGAUUAGGCCAACAAAGAACGUCUACUGUGCUGCGGUUCCCAUGAAGUAGGAAGUGGAGAAAUCAAAGCCUGUGCUUUCCCUGUUAGCAAAUCUUUAAAAUGACCAUUGGACCCAGAGUGGAAUGGCUGAGUCAAGAAUUUUUCUCUGGCUUUAUCUAAAAACUCUAUAAGUGUACUGUAGACACCUAAGAGACUGAACAGAGAAGCAAACAUUUCUAAGCUCUUCAUGUAGAACGGGAAAAAGGGUAAGAUUUUCACGGCAUUAGGUGAGAUGAAAGAGCUUCAUGGAUUUGGUUCAUUGCGAGAUUAUCAGUAUCUGUGAAUUUGCAUACUUAGGGCAGCAUGAAACAUAGAAUAUUUCUCUUAAAUUUCAUAAUUUUAAUAGAUGAUCCACCCUACACAGAGAGAGAGACAGACUUAAAACAAAAUAAAACAGACAUGCUGAGAGAGGUGAGGGUGGUACUGGUGAUGGUAAUAUUCCAUGAAACUACUUACCUGAGAAUUUCUCACUCACAAAACUGCACACAUCUAUGUAUUACUUUAUGGUAGAGAUUUAUGUCAAGUUGGAUUUUUUUUAAAAAGUGCUAAGUGUAAGAAAUGGGGAUAAAAGAUUUUAAAUUGUUUUACAUGACUAAAAAUUCUUAAGAUCCUAGCUUAGACCUCAUUGGAAGGUGAACCCUUUGGGUUAUAAAAGAUUUACACCUAUUUUUGAAUAGAUAGGUACUAUCUGUUUAUUAAGUGCUUACUAUGUGUCCAGCACUGGAUAUUGCUGAUACUAAGUUACAAAUGAAACCCAGCCUUCAUGGAGUUCACAGCCCAGCAGGAAGUACAGGCUCCACAUAAUAGCAAAGGUCUGUAAACAGAGGCCUUAUAUCAAAGAGCAGAGCUGGUAUCUCUGAGCACUGGCCUUAUUACAGCUCAGGUUCUCCUGCAUUGGAAUUCCCUGUCUACGUGUCUGCUUGGACAUAACUUUUGACCAAGCAGCUCUUAAAGACUAGGUUCAUAAAAACUAGAUGUUUCCAUGCAAACUAGAGUCUUUCUGCCAAGAGACACAACUACAAUUUAGAUUUGUCCCCCACUGCAGACAAAAACACUUCAAUCAGAAAUCAAUUUAGGAAGCUAAGCUAAAAUGGAUGGGAAUGGGCAAAUUUAAUUCAGGUGACCAUUAUAUCUACUACUGUGGGCAAGAAUUCCUUAGAAGAAAUGGAGUAGACCUCAGAGUCAACAAGAGAGUCUGAAAUGCA